GAGCGGGCGUAGCCCGCAACACCAAACUUCUAACUCAUCACUUCUCACGAUAAGAAAAUCUCAAUUAGAAGUUGUUAAUAGUUAGUGGUUUCGUGUUGUGGGUUGCGUCAGCGGCAGACGGGUGAGUAAUGCAUAGGAAUCUACCCCAGAGUGGAGUAUAGCCUUCCGAAAGGUGGGAUAAUUCUCCAUGGUUUCGCAAGAGUAAAGACCGUAACUGGUCGCUCUGGGAGGAGCCUGUGUCCUAUCAGCUAGUUGGUAGGGUAAUAGCCUACCAAGGCAAUGACGGGUAGCUGGACUGAGAGGUCGAUCAGCCACAACUGCACUGAGAUACGGGCAGUACACCUACGGGUGGCAGCAACUAGGAAUAUCUGGCAAUGGACGAGAGUCUGACCAAGCGACGCCGCGUGGAGGAUGAAGGCCUAUGGGUCGUAAACUCCUUUUGCCCCGCCAUUCACGGCGGGGAGAAUAAGCACCUACAAACUACGUGCCAGCCCUGUACCAAUUAUGGUGCGGAGGCUGGGAAUUGGUGCGUAGUCAUCGCAGCAAUGCGAUGAAAGAAAAUCUCGCUAUAUGCUGGGAAAUUUUAAUAUGGCCGCGAUUAGAUCUUUUUAAUUAAGACACAUAUUGAAACAAUCAGCAGGCAACCUCUAAACUUUAGAGAGAGCCCUCAGAGACUACACGCGAGACCCCCAUUCAACGGGGUGAAGAUAUAGUCCAAGUAAUGUUCUGAUACCAAAUAAAAUUGGUACAGCGCCACCAGUCGCGGUAAUACGUAGGGUGCAAGCGUUAUCCGGAUUUAUUGGGCGUAAAGUGUGCGUAGGCGCCUUAUUAAGUCGCGUUUUAAAUACCAGGGCUCAACCCUGGGGCAAGAUGCGAUACUAUUAAGGUUGAGGACUGAUCAGGAUGCUGGGAACAGCUAGAGUAGCAGUGAAAUGCGUUGAUAUUAGCUGGAACACCAAAGGCGAAGGCAAGCAUCUGGGUUUUUCCUGACGCUGAGGCACGAAAGCUAGGGUAGCGAAACAGAUUAGAGACCUGUGUAGUCCUAGCUGUAAACGAUCCCCGCUAGAUUUUGGUUCGCAAGAAUCAGAGUCGUAAGUUAACACGUUAAGCGGGGCGCCUGGGGAGUACGGUCGCAAGACUAAAACUCAAAGGAAUUGACGGGGGCCCGCACAACCGGUGGAGCGUGUGGUUCAAUUCGAGACGAAACGAAGGACCUCACCAGGGUUUGACAUGAUACCGUUUACCCCGCCAGAAAUGGCGGGGAAUCCGCAAGGAUGGUACCACAGGUGCUGCAUGGCUGUCGUCAGCUCGUGCCGUGAGGUGUUCCCUUAAGUGGGGAAACGAGCGCAACCCCUAUCUAAUGUUAAAUUUUCAUUAGAAACCGCCCCGUUAUAAGUUUGGUUGAGAACUUUAGCAAUGAUUAAAAGAUGUAAUAUCGAUUUUUAGGUCUUCGCUAAAGCCCCUGGACCAUACUUGUAACGGGGAGGAAGGAGGGGAAGACGUCAAGUCAGCACGGCCCUUAUACCCUGGGCCACACACACACUACAAUGGCGAAUAACAACGGGUUGCAAGCAGGUAACUGUAAGCUAAUCCCUUAAAUUUCGCCUCAAUUCAGAUUGAGGGCUGCAACUCGCCCUCAUGAAGCCGGAAUCGGUAGUAAUCGCGGAUCAGCAAGCCGCGGUGAAUACGUUCUCGGGUCUUGUACACACCGCCCGUCAAGGCAGCAAAGUCGGGAGUAGCCGAACUUCGAUUAUGUCGGGGGAGGC
rnacentral:rRNA from 1 species